UACGAAGGGGGCUAGCGUUGUUCGGAAUUACUGGGCGUAAAGCGCGCGCAGGCGGUCUUCCAAGUCAGUGGUGAAAGCCUGGAGCUCAACUCCAGAACUGCCAUUGAAACUGUUAGACUUGAGUACGAGAGAGGUGAGUGGAAUUCCCAGUGUAGAGGUGAAAUUCGUAGAUAUUGGGAAGAACACCAGUGGCGAAGGCGGCUCACUGGCGCGUAACUGACGCUCAGGCGCGACAGCGUGGGGAUCAAACAGG
rnacentral:rRNA from 1 species